rnacentral:rRNA from 1 species
AUUGCCAUUCGAUACCUGGUUUUUCCUGAGUGUGGUCACGAAAGGCCGAAUGUGUAAUGUAGCGGUGCAAAUGCUUAGAUAUUACACAGAACACCAACUUGCGAAGGCAGCCUUUCUUGGGCCGUUACUGACGCUCAUGCACGAAAGCGUGGGGAUCGAACAGGAUUAGAUACCCUGGUAGUGACGCCGUAAUCGAUGAUCACUCGCUGUUGGCGAUACACAGUCAGCGGCAAAGCAAAAGCAUUAAGUGAUCCACCCUGGGGAGUACGGCCGCAAGGCUGAAACUCAAAGGAAUUGACGGGGGCCCGCACAAGCGGAGGAACAUGUGGUUUAAUUCGAUGAUACGCGAGGAACCUUACCCCGGGCUCGAACGGUGCAUGAAUAUACAAGAGAUUGUAUAGUCCUUCGGGACAUGUAUCGAGGUGCUGCAUGGUUGUCGUCAGCUCGUGCCGUGAGGUGUCGGCUUAAGUGCCAUAACGAGCGCAACCCUUGUCAUUAGUUACCAUCAGGUCAAGCUGGGGACUCUAAUGAGACUGCCACCGUAAGGUGUGAGGAAGGGGGGGAUGACGUCAAAUCAGCACGGCCCUUAUGUCCGGGGCGACACACGUGUUACAAUGGGGGGUACAGAGGGCAGCCAUCCGGCGACGGAGCGCCAAUCUCAAAAACCCUUCUCAGUUCGGAUUGGAGUCUGCAACCCGA